UGUGUUUGGAAGGAGGGUGGUUUUCCACUGGUCAUGAACUGCUUACCAAUGAACUGACAGCUCCCCUUAUUCUCUACUAAAUGCAGUCCCAGCCUGUGUUAGCCCAUUAAGAGUUUGGGUCCCCAAGUUGAGGUGUCUGUCGCAAGGCCCUGCAGUAAUGGGCAAAGAGGCAUUCAUACCCCUUUUGCUGCUUUCCUCAGGCAGAUAGGGUCCCCAGCAACACCCAACCCACACCCCACACACCACCCUGAGCAGCAUGCUUCCCUCUACCCUCUUUCAGGCGCCUCGUGCAGGAGCUCUGCAGAAGCUUGCCGACCUUCCUCAUAAGACUUGCAGCCUAUUUCAGAGAGCACAAGUAUUGGCUUUAAAGUAACAGACCUCCUCUGGCUUUCAGCACCCACCUUAGAGGACACCUACCUCAUUGCUGCCCAGUCUCAGAGCCGGCAAUGGGAACCUGGCCAAACAGCUACCACCUUCUUCCAUCUUGUCAGAGAACUUCAUUUCAUGGCUACAGACGAGCCUGGGAAACUGCUACAUGAUCUCCAGGCAGCAGGAAGACAUUGCCCCUUGAGGAAUUCCUGCUCCUCAGGGGCCAGGAUUUGCAGGACACUAGGGCAAAAUGCAGAUGCUGGCACUGUGGAAUCUCUCCAUCAGUUCCCAAGGCAUGUAGUAAGAAGUUCCUGGGAGUCAGGAGCUCAAUACCGUUUCUGCUACUAAAUCAUUUUGCCUGAUCUCGGGCAAACCACACCAUUCCCACCCACACCCCUCCCUGUGUGGCACCCCAUGACAUCAACAGACCCACUAAUCUUUCAGGACCAAACACAAAGGUAAAGAAUGCUUCAGAUGGGUGCUGAGGCAGGACAAGUGCUGUGGGGUUAUCUUUCACUAGACGUGAAUCUGUAGCACAACCCAUUGCUGAUGUUUCCCCACUGACAGUCCCCACCAUAAAAUACGGUAAAAGCUAAAUGUGAUGAUAA